AUCUCACCAUCUCAUCCUCAGUUACCCCCUUCUCUAUGGGGCUUCCCGGGUGGUGCAUUGGUAAAGAGUCUGACUGCCAAAGCAGGAGACGCAGGAGACUCAGGUGUGAUUCCUGGCUCAGGAAGAUCCCCUGGAGGAGGGCAUGGCAACCCACUCCAGUAUUCUUGCCUGGGAAAUCCCAUGGAAAGAGAAGCCUGGAGGUCUACAGUCCAUGUGGUUGCAAAGAGUCGGACAUGACUGAACAUGCACACUCAUGCACUGUAGAAGUGGAGAAAGUCAUAAUUCCUGCCUCAUGAGAUUGUUGGGAGGAUUAAAGGAGAUGGUGGUCCCUGUGGAGUGCCUGGCACAGGGCCCGGAUCUGUAAAUGCUCUUAGGAAUGCUAGGCCUCCUUUAAACUACCAACUUUAAUAAGUAAGGUUUCAAGAUUUAGUUCUAUUUUAACUCACUGUUCAUAGUGGAAAUGUCAAAAUGUAUAGUGUAGACUGACCUUGGGUGUCUGCACCCAGUUAGAUCUUAAAUGUCUCGAGGGCAGAGGCCAGAUUCCACUACUUCACCAGAGAACCAUAUAGACUUGAUUAUAUGACUGAAAAAUCCCAAGGCACAUUAUUCCUAAGAAAGCGAAACUGACCCAAUGCUGAAGGGCUUCAGUGGAAUACCAGGGCCCGAUUCCACAGGACCUCACCUCCCAAACAAGGCGGCAUCUUCAGCAGGAACACUAGGGAGGGUCCUGGGUCCAGGUUCCAUUCAAAGGCAGUGAGGACUCCCACUCCAGGUCCGUCACUGCCUUUCAGCCAUAGACACACCUCGGGAUAAAUCGUAAGACAAAUGGGUUUUAAUGCUCAGUGCAGGGGGGAGAACUUCCACCACGGGGAAACAGUGAGGCGUCUUAGCAAGAGCGUGUUCACAAGGAUUUGUUCCAGCACCUGGGUUGUUAGGUGAUCUGGGGAAGGAUUCAAGGAAUUGGGGCUUUGCUGCCAGCAAAGGGGAUCAUUCUAUCACUGGGUGUCAAUAUAUUCUGUCUGUAAAAUGGGAGGAAUGAAGUCAGGCUUCAGGUUUCAUUGGUAAAGAACAGUAGCCACUCAUAAUCCUGGG
ensembl:lncRNA